rnacentral:tRNA from 1 species
AGUGGAUUAGUUCAAUGGCAGAACAUUGCUUUGUGGGUUGUACUAACGAAUCAGCAAAAAUGGGAGUUCGAUUCUCCCAUCUACGA